CUUGGCGAAUGCACAUCUUUUAUGUUAUCAUUAAUAUUACGAACUUGGGAGCUCCGCUUUUAGGCGUGGCUAAAUCUGUAUAGUAAAGUAUUUAUCAUAUGGCAAAAAGAUUUCGCUUAAGUAAGAAUUAAGAAUAUCUUGUUUACUUCGAGAGCCGAGAAAAAAAGUCAACUGUGUUUGUAGCACAACAAACUCACAAGAGUCGUUUCUGUUUUCUUGGUUUUGACUAUCUUUUACUGUUUUUUGCGUUUCCACCGCCGAAAUCGGUCCAAGAAUUACGAACGUAGUUAUAACUGUAUUUUUUUCUUGCACGGAAUCAAUGCGAGCAAUCUCUCGGUUAGCCAAUCAGAACACAGGAUUCGCUUUAUCUUGCCCACGGGCGCUGCGAGCGAUGUAAUAAGGCCUCUUAAAACGUCUUCCUGUUUUAAAUUAAGAUCAUUACUCAUCUGUCAUGCGUAGUUCAUGAAUAAUUAUUCAACGUGCGCGAGUGUGUUGCGACAAUUGGAUAUUGAACCAAGGAAUCGUUGCAGUACCGGCUACACAUAGACUUGUCUUCACGUGUCUCUGCUAUCUCAGGUAAUGCAUUGGUUAAGAAAAAUCUACCACAUGCGACAACAUAACCAAAACAUUUGCAAACGUCUUAAUGCCUUAAUGGUGAUUGGUCGCACCCAGCUGUCAUGUCACGUUAUCCACAAUCCACACCUAUCGCAGAGCCGCGACCACCAUGAGACCUCACUUUCCCGGAGCAAGAUUGGCGUCUGUCAAAUGAUGAGCCUAAAGGCUCCUCUGUGGUUCCGGGAGGUAUUUGCUAACACAUCAUAUUUGCCAAGUUGCUCGACGAAUGUUCUGAUGUAUUAGACCAUGAUAAUCGAUGGUGGUCUCGAGGAUAUCGAAUGAUGCAGAUUUUUUGAGGUCUGAUAUCAGAUUUUGAGAAAAUGUGGCCAUUAGAUCGUCCCUUCAAUGAAUUAAGAAGGACAGAGCCUCAUCCAUCAUGCUGCUAACUGGCCUAUGGCAUUAUCGCCUGGCUCGGAAACAUGUCCAACGAAAGAAAGGAAGACUGAUGGUUCUGUCUCAAAUUAUUUCCAAGGCGUUUCG